rnacentral:rRNA from 1 species
GUGGGGAAUCUUGCGCAAUGGGCGAAAGCCUGACGCAGCCAUGCCGCGUGGAUGAUGAAGGUCUUAGGAUUGUAAAAUCCUUUCACCGGUGAAGAUAAUGACUGUAGCCGGAGAAGAAGCCCCGGCUAACUUCGUGCCAGCAGCCGCGGUAAUACGAAGGGGGCUAGCGUUGCUCGGAUUUACUGGGCGUAAUGGGCGCGUAGGCGGACAUUUAAGUCAGGGGUGAAAUCCCGGGGCUCAACCUCGGAACUGCCUUUGAUACUGGGUGUCUUGAGUAUGAGAGAGGUGUGUGGAACUCCGAGUGUAGAGGUGAAAUUCGUAGAUAUUCGGAAGAACACCAGUGGCGAAGGCGACACACUGGCUCAUUACUGACGCUGAGGCGCGAAAGCGUGGGGAGCAAACAGGAUUAGAAACCCGGGUAGUCC